GGCCAAGUUUUUAAGGGCGCACGGUGGAUGCCUUGGCACCAGGAACCGAUGAAGGACGUGGGAGGCCGCGAUAGGCCCCGGGGAGCUGUCAACCGAGCUUUGAUCCGGGGGUGUCCGAAUGGGGAAACCCGGCAGUCGUCAUGGGCUGUCACCCGCUGCUGAACACAUAGGCAGUGUGGAGGGAACGCGGGGAAGUGAAACAUCUCAGUACCCGCAGGAAGAGAAAACAACCGUGAUUCCGGGAGUAGUGGCGAGCGAAACUGGAUGAGGCCAAACCAGUCACGUGUGAUACCCGGCAGGGGUUGCGUGGUUGGGGUUGUGGGAUCUCUUUUCUGCAGUCUGCCGGCUGUGGGACGAGUCAGAAACCGUUGAUGUAGGCGAAGGACAUGCGAAAGGUCCGGCGUAGAGGGUAAGACCCCCGUAGCUGAAACGUCAACGGCUCGUUUAAGAGACACCCAAGUAGCACGGGGCCCGAGAAAUCCCGUGUGAAUCUGGCGGGACCACCCGUUAAGCCUAAAUAUUCCCUGGUGACCGAUAGCGGAUAGUACCGUGAGGGAAUGGUGAAAAGUACCGCGGGAGCGGAGUGAAAUAGUACCUGAAACCGUGUGCCUACAAGCCGUGGGAGCGUCGGAACAAGGCUUGCCUUGUUCUCGUGACUGCGUGCCUUUUGAAGAAUGAGCCUGCGAGUUUGCGGUAUGUUGCGAGGUUAACCCGUGUGGGGAAGCCGUAGCGAAAGCGAGUCCGAAUAGGGCGUUGAGUAGCGUGCCCAAGACCCGAAGCGGAGUGAUCUAGCCAUGGGCAGGUUGAAGCGGAGGUAAGACUUCGUGGAGGACCGAACCCACCAGGGUUGAAAACCUGGGGGAUGACCUGUGGUUAGGGGUGAAAGGCCAAUCAAACUCCGUGAUAGCUGGUUCUCCCCGAAAUGCAUUUAGGUGCAGCGUCGUGUGUUUCUUGCCGGAGGUAGAGCACUGGAUAGGCGAUGGGCCCUACCGGGUUACUGACCUUAGCCAAACUCCGAAUGCCGGUAAGUGAGAGCGCGGCAGUGAGACUGUGGGGGAUAAGCUCCAUGGUCGAGAGGGAAACAGCCCAGAGCAUCGACUAAGGCCCCUAAGCGUGUGCUAAGUGGGAAAGGAUGUGGAGUCGCAGAGACAACCAGGAGGUUGGCUUAGAAGCAGCCACCCUUGAAAGAGUGCGUAAUAGCUCACUGGUCAAGUGAUUCCGCGCCGACAAUGUAGCGGGGCUCAAGCACACCGCCGAAGUCAUGUCAUUGCGAUAUUACUCCUAACGGGGAUCGUGAUGGGUAGGGGAGCGUCGUGUGCCGGGUGAAGCAGCCGUGGAAACGAGUUGUGGACGGUUCACGAGUGAGAAUGCAGGCAUGAGUAGCGAUACACACGUGGGAAACGUGUGCGCCGAUUGACUAAGGGUUCCUGGGUCAAGCUGAUCUGCCCAGGGUAAGUCGGGACCUAAGGCGAGGCCGACAGGCGUAGUCGAUGGACAACCGGUUGAUAUUCCGGUACCCGCUUUGAAGCGCCAAACAUUGAAUCAGGCGAUGCUAAGUCCGUGAAGCCGCCCUGAGCUCUUCGGAGCGUAGGGGAGUGGUGGAGCCGACGAACCAGACUUGUAGUAGGUGAGUGAUGGGGUGACGCAGGAAGGUAGUCCAGCCCGGGCGGUGGUUGUCCCGGGGUAAGGGUGUAGGCCGUGUGGUAGGCAAAUCCGUCACACGUUAAGGCUGAGACCUGAUGCCGAGCCGAUUGUGGUGAAGUGGAUGAUCCUAUGCUGUCGAGAAAAGCCUCUAGCGAGUUUCAUGGCGGCCCGUACCCUAAACCGACUCAGGUGGUCAGGUAGAGAAUACCGAGGCGUUCGGGUGAACUAUGGUUAAGGAACUCGGCAAAAUGCCCCCGUAACUUCGGGAGAAGGGGGGCCAUUGCUGGUGAUGGAAUUUUCUUCCUGAGCUGGUGGUGGCCGCAGAGACCAGCGAGAAGCGACUGUUUACUAAAAACACAGGUCCGUGCGAAGCCGUAAGGCGAUGUAUACGGACUGACGCCUGCCCGGUGCUGGAACGUUAAGGGGACCGGUUAGUCAUGAUUCGUCAUGGCGAAGCUGAGAACUUAAGCGCCAGUAAACGGCGGUGGUAACUAUAACCAUCCUAAGGUAGCGAAAUUCCUUGUCGGGUAAGUUCCGACCUGCACGAAUGGCGUAACGACUUCUCGACUGUCUCAACCAUAGGCCCGGUGAAAUUGCAUUACGAGUAAAGAUGCUCGUUUCGCGCAGCAGGACGGAAAGACCCCGGGACCUUUACUAUAGCUUGAUAUUGGUGUUCGGUUCGGCUUGUGUAGGAUAGGUGGGAGACUUUGAAGCAUCAACGCCAGUUGGUGUGGAGUCAUUGUUGAAAUACCACUCUGGUCGUGCUGGAUGUCUAACCUGGGUCCGUGAUCCGGAUCAGGGACAGUGUCUGGUGGGUAGUUUAACUGGGGCGGUUGCCUCCUAAAGGGUAACGGAGGCGCCCAAAGGUUCCCUCAGCCUGGUUGGCAAUCAGGUGUUGAGUGUAAGUGCACAAGGGAGCUUGACUGUGAGACUGACGGGUCGAGCAGGUACGAAAGUAGGGACUAGUGAUCCGGCGGUGGCUUGUGGAAGCGCCGUCGCUCAACGGAUAAAAGGUACCCCGGGGAUAACAGGCUGAUCUUCCCCAAGAGUCCAUAUCGACGGGAUGGUUUGGCACCUCGAUGUCGGCUCGUCGCAUCCUGGGGCUGGAGUCGGUCCCAAGGGUUGGGCUGUUCGCCCAUUAAAGCGGUACGCGAGCUGGGUUUAGAACGUCGUGAGACAGUUCGGUCCCUAUCCGCUGUGCGCGUAGGAGUCUUGAGAAGGGCUGUCCCUAGUACGAGAGGACCGGGACGGACGAACCUCUGGUGUGCCAGUUGUCCUGCCAAGGGCAUGGCUGGUUGGCUACGUUCGGAAAGGAUAACCGCUGAAAGCAUCUAAGCGGGAAGCCUGCUUCGAGAUGAGGGCUCCCACCUCCUUGAGAGGGUAAGGCUCCCAGUAGACGACUGGGUUGAUAGGCCAGAUAUGGAAGCCGGGUAACCGGUGGAGUUGACUGGUACUAAUAGGCCGAGGGCUUGUCCUC
rnacentral:rRNA from 1 species